CCAUCCAAAAUAUCUAAAGCUGAGUAAAUGGAGACAGAUUAAAAUAGAUCAUCAUAUUGUAAUUUAUCACCUUUCAACUCAUUUUAACCAAAUAAAAUCAAUUCAUAUGAAUCGAGCAAUCAACAUGGCUUAUGAAUUUCUUAAAACUUUGGCUCGUGCCAAAAUCAUUCUCAUACUCAAUUAUCAGGGAUACCUUGGCCGAGGGCUAUCCCAACUGAGUCCGCCAAGGUUGUUAAAAAGUUAUGUACGCAUAAAUCAUGUUUUUAUUUUGAAAAUAUAGUCGUUCCUUGGCGUUGGCUGAGUUCACCCUCACGUGGUGGUUUGGCGUGAAGUGAACUCCAAAGUGUU
rnacentral:lncRNA from 1 species